rnacentral:rRNA from 1 species
AAUCAAGCAACGCGAAGAACCUUACCAGGUCUUGACAUCCUCUGCUACUUCUAGAGAUAGAAGGUUCCCUUCGGGGACAGAGUGACAGGUGGUGCAUGGUUGUCGUCAGCUCGUGUCGUGAGAUGUUGGGUUAAGUCCCGCAACGAGCGCAACCCUUGAUCUUAGUUGCCAGCAUUCAGUUGGGCACUCUAAGGUGACUGCCGGUGACAAACCGGAGGAAGGUGGGGAUGACGUCAAAUCAUCAUGCCCCUUAUGACCUGGGCUACACACGUGCUACAAUGGAUGAUACAAAGGGCUGCAAAACCGCGAGGUUAAGCCAAUCCCAUAAAAUCAUUCUCAGUUCGGAUUGUAGGCUGCAACUCGCCUACAUGAAGCCGGAAUCGCUAGUAAUCGCGGAUCAGCAUGCCGCGGUGAAUACGUUCCCGGGUCUUGUACACACCGCCCGUCACACCACGAGAGUUUGUAACACCCGAAGUCGGUGAGGUAACCUUUUGGAGCCAGCCGCCGAAGGUGGGACAGAUGAUUGGGGUG